GUCGUGAGAUGUUGGGUUAAGUCCCGCAACGAGCGCAANCCUCGCCCCUAGUUGCCAUCAUUCAGUUGGGAACUCUAGGGGGACUGCCGGUGAUAAGCCGCGAGGAAGGUGGGGAUGACGUCAAGUCCUCAUGGCCCUUACAGGCUGGGCUACACACGUGCUACAAUGGCGGUGACAAUGGGCAGCGAAGGAGCGAUCCGGUGCUAAUCCCAAAAAGCCGUCUCAGUACAGAUUGCACUCUGCAACUCGAGUGCAUGAAGGUGGAAUCGCUAGUAAUCGUGGAUCAGCAUGCCACGGUGAAUACGUUCCCGGGCCUUGUACACACCGCCCGUCACACCAUGGGAGUUGGGUUUACCCGAAGGCGUCGCGCUAACCGCAAGGAGGCAGGCGACCACGGUAGGCUCAGCGACUGGGGUGAAGUCGUAACAAGGUAACC
rnacentral:rRNA from 1 species